AAGUCGUAACAAGGUAACCGUAGGUGAACCUGCGGUUGGAUCAUUAAAAAAUUCAACUGUUUGGGUUGAGGUUCCAGAUUGUGUGAUCCCACAGCUCGUUUCGGCGUGCUGUGCUUCGCUGCUGGAAACUCCCCGACAUACAAACCUCUUGUGAACUGUUCUGUUUCUGGCGGGUGGAUGGGGCUACUUUUUCGAAGGUCCCCAUCUGUCAGCUUGGGCUUGUUCCCAGCCGUGGACAACCCGCCAAACACUUGCUUGAACCUUUGUCUUAUUUUUAUACUUUGUCUGAAACCUUCUGUAUGCACAAUACAAACAACUUUUGGCAACGGAUCUCUUGGCUCUC
rnacentral:misc_RNA from 1 species